rnacentral:lncRNA from 1 species
CCUUGCAGAAUCCUUCACUAGUGGUGGAUGCAUGCUUGGUGCACCAAUGCCAACAUAACUGUCCUUGGGAGCAUUUCCACUGUCAACAGGCAUAGCCUCCCUAGGAGUGUAGCGGGUUUGGGAGAAGACAGUUCUGCCCUUCUCGUAGUGCGAUUUGGAACUGUAGGAAUAGAUUGGGAUGACACCCAACUGUUCAACAAUGCUGGCCUGAGAGCUACCAGAGACACCAUCUUCAGUGCUUUCGUAGUGCUUCUGCUGAGACAUUGGGGCAAGUUGCUUCUGGGGCAUUUGAGCUACAUGCCAUAAUUGCUGAGGCACGGGGGUCAGUUGCUUCUGCGGUAGAGGCAUGGAGGCCAGUUGCUGCUGGGACAUUUGAGCUGGAUACCACACUUGCUUGGGUAUGGCGGUCGGUUUCUCCUGCGGAAGAGGCAUGGAGGCCGGUUGCUUCUGCUGCUGGGGAAAUUGAGCUGGAUGCCACACUUGCUGAUGUGUCUGAAGCAUGGCGGUCAGUUCAAUUUGCUGCUGAGGUUCAGUAGCUGGUUGCUUCUGCUGCUGAGGCAUUUGAACUGGAUGCCACACUUUCUGAUGUGCCUGCGGCAUGGCGGUCAGUGCAGCGACUUGUUGCUUCUGGACCAUUUUAGCUGGAUACCACACGUCGUGAGGCUGCUGGGGCAUAGGGGCCGGUUGCUUCUGCGCCAGAUGCCACACUUGCUGAAGCAUGGCAGCCGGUUGCUUAUGCUGCUGGGGAAUUUGAGUUGUUUGCCACAGUUGGGGUAUGGCGGUCAGUUCCUUCUGCGGUAGAUGCAUAGGGGCUGGUUGCUUCUGCUCCGGGGGAAAUUGAUCUGGAUGCCACACUUGCUGAGGUGGCUGGGGCAUUGCGGUCAGUUCAAUUUGCUGCUGAGGUUCAGCGGCUAAUUGCUUCUGCAGCUGGGGCUUUUGAGCUGGAUACCAUGCUUGCAGGGGCAUGGCGGUCAGUUGUGUCUGCAGCAUUUGAGCUGGAUGCCACCCUUGCUGGGGCACGGCGGUCGGUUGCUUCUGCGGCAGAGGCAUGGAGGCCAGAUGCUUCUGGGGCAUUUGAGCUGGAUACCUAACUUGCUGGGGUAUAGUGGCCUGUUGCUUCUGCUGCUGAGGCUCAGCCGUCGGUUGCUGCUGAGGCUCAGCCGUCGGUUGCUGCUGAGGCUCAGCCGUCGGUUGCUGCUGAGGCUCGGCAGCCGUCGGUUGCUG